rnacentral:rRNA from 1 species
UACGGGGGGGGCAAGCGUUGUUCGGAAUUACUGGGCGUAAAGGGCUCGUAGGCGGCCAACUAAGUCGGACGUGAAAUCCCUCGGCUUAACCGGGGAACUGCGUCCGAUACUGGAUGGCUUGAGUUUGGGAGAGGGAUGCGGAAUUCCAGGUGUAGCGGUGAAAUGCGUAGAUAUCUGGAGGAACACCGGUGGCGAAGGCGGCAUCCUGGACCAACACUGACACUGAGGCACGAAAGCGUGGGGAGCAAACAGG